AUGCUUAUUGGAAUAAUGGCAUUCACUGAAGAACAUGUCAUGCUUUAUUGCUUGUCGUGUCCCUCCUUAUUUGAAGAAACUUCUCUGUGCCAAGAUCUUCUUCAGAGGAGAAAAAGCAUUUAAUUUUCAGGUAUGUUAAUGAUUUAACAUCAUCAUGUU
rnacentral:lncRNA from 1 species